GGCAAGAAGGAAAGGGAAGCUGGCGAGGCAGCGCUGGGCUUGAGAGGCGAGGAGCCGUCAAGAGCUAGAGAGGAUGGAGCUGGGGGCGAGAAGAAAGGAAAGUGUCUAGUUAUUGGGACCUGGGGACGAGGUAAAGGAGAGAUGGCCUGUUCUCAGAGGGAAGGCCUGGGUACCCUUGAGCAAAGGUUAUCCUGAAGAGGGUUGGACUUAGAACUGCCCAGCCUGGCAUGCUGGCUUCUGAGUGGAGGGCAGCCUACUGCCCCACGCAGACCUGGUCCUUCCUGCAAAUCCAGAUGAGCCUCUGUGAAGAACACGUGAAGCUACCUUCUGCUCCCAUCAGGCUCAUGCUUGCACUGCAGAUUUCAGUGUCCUUAUAGGAGACAGAAGAAGACACGGGGGAGGAGGCGAUAUGAAGACGCGGCAGAGAGAGGUGUCCACAGCCGAGGAGGCUACGGAAGCCCAGGAUGCCGGCAUCGCGUGAAGCUGGGGGGCAGAGGAGGAGCCCCCCAGAGCCUGUGGAGGGAGUGCGGCCCCGGGACACGUUGAUUUGGGGCUUCGGGCCUCCAGAACUGUGGGAAAAUAAAUUUCUAUUGGUUUAAGCCACUGGCUUGUGGUAACGUGUUACAGCAGGCAUAGGAAACUCAUACAAUCAUUUCAACAAACUUUGGCACAUGUUCUUUCUACAUUCCUAUGAGAAUCAUGCGUUUAACAUAAAGAAAUUUUACUUUGAGAUUUGCCGUUUAUAUUCUAGUGCGUGAUAUUCUUUUCUCUCAUAUUCUUACACUUAUUUUUUGCCUUCCUG
rnacentral:lncRNA from 1 species